rnacentral:rRNA from 1 species
UUUAUUCGCUCAGGACGAACGCUGGCGGCGUGCCUAAUACAUGCAAGUCGAACGAACUCUGGUAUUGAUUGGUGCUUGCAUCAUGAUUUACAUUUGAGUGAGUGGCGAACUGGUGAGUAACACGUGGGAAACCUGCCCAGAAGCGGGGGAUAACACCUGGAAACAGAUGCUAAUACCGCAUAACAACUUGGACCGCAUGGUCCGAGCUUGAAAGAUGGCUUCGGCUAUCACUUUUGGAUGGUCCCGCGGCGUAUUAGCUAGAUGGUGGGGUAACGGCUCACCAUGGCAAUGAUACGUAGCCGACCUGAGAGGGUAAUCGGCCACAUUGGGACUGAGACACGGCCCAAACUCCUACGGGAGGCAGCAGUAGGGAAUCUUCCACAAUGGACGAAAGUCUGAUGGAGCAACGCCGCGUGAGUGAAGAAGGGUUUCGGCUCGUAAAACUCUGUUGUUAAAGAAGAACAUAUCUGAGAGUAACUGUUCAGGUAUUGACGGUAUUUAACCAGAAAGCCACGGCUAACUACGUGCCAGCAGCCGCGGUAAUACGUAGGUGGCAAGCGUUGUCCGGAUUUAUUGGGCGUAAAGCGAGCGCAGGCGGUUUUUUAAGUCUGAUGUGAAAGCCUUCGGCUCAACCGAAGAAGUGCAUCGGAAACUGGGAAACUUGAGUGCAGAAGAGGACAGUGGAACUCCAUGUGUAGCGGUGAAAUGCGUAGAUAUAUGGAAGAACACCAGUGGCGAAGGCGGCUGUCUGGUCUGUAACUGACGCUGAGGCUCGAAAGUAUGGGUAGCAAACAGGAUUAGAUACCCUGGUAGUCCAUACCGUAAACGAUGAAUGCUAAGUGUUGGAGGGUUUCCGCCCUUCAGUGCUGCAGCUAACGCAUUAAGCAUCCGCCUGGAGACAGAG